rnacentral:rRNA from 1 species
UACCAGCUCUCCGAGUGGUGUGGAUGUUUAUUGAGCCUAAAGCAUCCGUAGCUGGCUGGACAAGUCCCCUGUUAAAUCCACCGAUUUAAUCGUUGGUGUGCGGGGGAUACUGUUCGGCUAUGGGACGGGAGAGGCCGACGGUAUUUCCGGGGUAGGGGUGAAAUCCUAUAAUCCCGGGAAGACCACCAGUGGCGAAGGCUGUCGGCUAGAACGCGCCCGACGGUGAGGGAUGAAAGCUGGGGGAGCGAACCGGAUUAGAUACCCGGGUAGUCCCAGCUGUAAACGAUGCAGGCUAGGUGUUUGGGCGGCCACGUGCCGCUCUAGUGCCGCAAGGAAGCUGUUAAGCCUGCCGCCUGGGGAGUACGGCUGCAAGGCUGAAACUUAAAGGAAUUGGCGGGGAGCACCACAAGGGGUGAAGCUUGCGGUUU